UGGGGAAUUUUGGACAAUGGGCGAAAGCCUGAUCCAGCAAUGCCGCGUGUGUGAAGAAGGCCUUCGGGUUGUAAAGCACUUUUGUCCGGAAAGAAAUCCUUGGCUCUAAUACAGUCGGGGGAUGACGGUACCGGAAGAAUAAGCACCGGCUAACUACGUGCCAGCAGCCGCGGUAAUACGUAGGGUGCAAGCGUUAAUCGGAAUUACUGGGCGUAAAGCGUGCGCAGGCGGUUUGCUAAGACCGAUGUGAAAUCCCCGGGCUCAACCUGGGAACUGCAUGGUGACUGGCAGGCUAGAGUAUGGCAGAGGGGGGUAGAAUUCCACGUGUAGCAGUGAAAUGCGUAGAGAUGUGGAGGAAUACCGAUGGCGAAGGCAGCCCCCCUGGGCCAAUACUGACGCUCAUGCACGAAAGCGUGGGGAGCAAAACAGGAUUAGAUACCCUGGUAGUCCACGCCCCUAAAACGAUGUCAACUAGUUGUUGGGGAUUCAUUUUCCUUAGUAACGUAGCUAACGCGUGAAGUUGACCGCCUGGGGAGUACGGUCGC
rnacentral:rRNA from 1 species